rnacentral:misc_RNA from 1 species
UUUCCGUAGGCGAACCUGCGGAAGGAUCAUUAUUGAAUGAACUUGGCGUGGUUGUCGCUGGCCCUCUCGGGGGUAUGUGCACGCCCGUCAUCUUUAUCUUUCCACCUGUGCACACUUUGUAGACUUGAAUAGUAUUUUCUGAGGCAACUCAGUCGGGAGGAUUGCUGGUAUUUAUCAGCUCUCCUUGCAUUAUUCAAGCCUAUGUUUUUCAUAUACCCCAAAAAUGUAACAGAAUGUAUCAUAGGGCCUUGUGCCUAUAAACUAUAUACAACUUUCAGCAACGGAUCUCUUGGCUCUC